AAAAAUGGCGGCAGCUAAUACAUGCAAGUCGAGCGGACCGACGGGAGCUUGCUCCCUUAGGUUAGCGGCGGACGGGUGAGUAACACGUGGGUAACCUGCCUGUAAGACUGGGAUAACUCCGGGAAACCGGGGCUAAUACCGGAUGCUUGAUUGAACCGCAUGGUUCAAUUAUAAAAGGUGGCUUUUAGCUACCACUUACAGAUGGACCCGCGGCGCAUUAGCUAGUUGGUGAGGUAACGGCUCACCAAGGCAACGAUGCGUAGCCGACCUGAGAGGGUGAUCGGCCACACUGGGACUGAGACACGGCCCAGACUCCUACGGGAGGCAGCAGUAGGGAAUCUUCCGCAAUGGACGAAAGUCUGACGGAGCAACGCCGCGUGAGUGAUGAAGGUUUUCGGAUCGUAAAACUCUGUUGUUAGGGAAGAACAAGUACCGUUCGAAUAGGGCGGUACCUUGACGGUACCUAACCAGAAAGCCACGGCUAACUACGUGCCAGCAGCCGCGGUAAUACGUAGGUGGCAAGCGUUGUCCGGAAUUAUUGGGGCGUAAAGCGCGCGCAGGCGGUUUCUUAAGUCUGAUGUGAAAGCCCCCGGCUCACCCGGGGAGGGUCAUUGGAAACUGGGGAACUUGAGUGCAGAGAGGAGAGUGAAUUCCACGUGUAGCGGUGAAAUGCGUAGAGAUGUGAGGAACAGCAGUGGCGAAGCUACUCUCUGGUCUGUAACUGACGCUGAGGCGCGAAAGCGUGGGGAGCGAACAGGAUUAGAUACCCUGUAGUCCACGCCGUAAACGAUGAGUGCUAGUGUUGAGGGCUUCCGCCCUUUAUGCUGCAGCAACGCAUAUGCCACUCGCGCCUGGGGGAGUACGGUCGCAGGACUGAACUCAAGUAUGACGGGGCCCCGCCACAAGCGUGACCAUGUGUUUAAUCGAGCAGCGCGAGACUACAGUCUGACAUUCUCUGACACCUAGAGAUAGGCUCCGCCUCGGGGCGACUGACAGUGUGCAAGGAUUGUCUUCACCUCUGUCCUGGGAAGUUUAGGUAAUUCCCCACGAGCUAAGCUGAUCUUACUGCAGCAUUCAUUGGGAGCUAGGUACUGCAUUCAACGAGAAGUGGGGUAAAC
rnacentral:rRNA from 1 species